UGGGAACGAUACUCUACUCAAUACUCUAUUACUUGACGAUCACGUGCACUUGCGUGAGUGUUUUUGAUCGCAACAAUAUUCAACAUCCAAAAUACCAUCCAAGAUAGAUUAAUACAAGAAACUACUUUUUAAUGAUCAUCAGAUGGUGCUGGAGAACGGGACAGAGAAAAUGCACAAUAUGCUAAGAGAGAGUUUAUCCGUUUGAGGCUUUCAACAUCAUUAGUGACAAGUCUUAAUGCCUCGUCCUUUCGCCUGAUUUCUUCCUCCCUUUGCCUUUCCUCUUCUUCUCUUGCCUAUCUUCUUCCUUCCUCCCUCCACAACUUUUGGACUUUCCACAACUUUUGAUCCCCUGCAACUAAAUAUAUUCAGUUCUAAACCUUAUGUUUCAUCAUGUUUCCCCAAGAAAAUUACCCUGCAAAAAUGUGUCAAGGCCAAUAUUCUGACCAAAAACCUCUGUAUAUUUUAUCAGUGAGUGGAUUUUGACACGUUGAUGAAUCAAAAGAUUCAAAAUCUAGGGACAAUUUGGUCCACUGCAAUGCCUAUGAAGCAAGCAGGCCACAGUCAAUACCAAUUAGCAUUGAUUUUGAUCAAGAAACGCGAGUUGCUGCAGCUCAGAAGCUCAAGAUUGGGCAUUAUUUUGCAACAUGAGGGGCUCUGAAUGUUGCGUUAAAAAUUUAUAAUAAGAAAGUUUUAAAAUAUACCUUAACUAGUAAUCGUAUCAGACAAUGAUAUUCAUUAAUCACUUAGAAGGAGCAGAAAAAGUCUCAAGAUGAAGGGAAAAAAGCAAAAAAUUAAGAAAAAGAGAGUGAUGAAUGUUGGACUAAGCGGCUUUGCCCUCAAAAUUCUCAGUAUUUGAAAAUAGCGGGAACAUCUUAAUAUAAUUAGAUAAAGCUUAAUGUGAUAAUUAUCUUAACUACAAAUAACGUAGACGGCUUUGAAUGAGUAGUUAGUUACAUAUUUUGUAAUUUCCAUCUCUUUUAUAUAGGAUAAAAAAGCAAAAUAGAAAAAAGAAGAAGAUGAGGAAACAGAUAAAAAACGGGAAAAAAAAGAAGAAGAAGAAGAAUCUCAUUUAGUUUUGGUAACACAGUAACAAAACCUCAUCGCCAUUUUUCUAAAAUAAAUGAGAACAGAUUAAACCCCCUUAGUACAAAAGCUUUGUGACUCACAGAAUACUUUGUUUGUGAAAAAUAAACAAACAUCUACAUGAAUAAAGAUUAAAAGGUAAAUAUAUUUAAGGGAUGACGUAAUUAGUGAACAUAAUAAGUAAAACGUUUAAUGAAACAUACCUGACUCUCAUGCUCAAUUCUAAGUAACCUGAAGUUCGCUGGAUUAUGCCUUCAGCAUCACUAUAACCUGAGCAACCUCGAAAAUAUUAAACUUUGUUGAGAAUCAAAGAAAACCUGAAAGAAACUAUUAUGAAGAAGCAAAUGCUUCUCUAGUACUUUUAUGCGAUUACUGAGAUAUAAAUCCUCUAAUAUGCAACAUAGAAAAGCUAUAGCACUUAAAGACUUGAAUCAUAAUAUUAGGUGAUCGGUUACUACUGUUAGCUGAUGUAUAAAAGAGUAAAUUAAGUCCUAAUGAGUACCUAAAAUGUUUACAUAAAGAAUCAAUCAACUACUUUUACAAUGCAAUCAAAUAAUCCACUUCAGAUUAUUUCCUACUUCUGCCCUUCCUCUCCUUAUUGCUUUUACUUUACUCCACGUCAUGAAUAGGCAUUACUUUAUAAGGGACUUGUCUUAAAUAAAGUUACGGAUGAUGCUCAGGCAAUAAUUGUUGUGAUAACUUUAGGUCCAUUUAAAGAGUGCCAUAAUUCUGCAUACAGCUGGAAACAACAUUAUUCAUUUUAAACGAAUAAUUUCCCUUCGUAGGAAAUAAGAGAAAUAUGACUAAAAAGCAAAACACGCCUUCAUUCAAAAAAGAGGCUAAAAGUAGUGCUUACAAAUGCUUAAGAACUUACAGAAAAACUAUACAUAUUUAUCGUACAUAAACAAGAAAUUCAUCUAAGCAAGUUUCAAUAUGUUCAAUGUAAUCCACUCUAUAAGGAAGGCCCUGUCACAGUCAAUAUUAGAGGACUUAUAAAAAGCCCUUUCAGUUAACCAUUUACCAAACUUUCAAGGUCAUCAAUGGAAUGAGUACUCCAUUAAAAGACAAACAGGAAUAAUUAUAACUCCACCAAAUCCUCACACAUCACUUAAUUCACACACACAAAAGACACAAAUAUCAAAACCCCAUAUACUCUAACAACAGAGAUCUAUUUCAUAAAUAAAAAAAUAAAGACUUAGAGCAUAGCAUACUUUUUCAAUAAUAUUAGAUAUCAAGCUAAAUAUAACAACAACUACUCAGGCUAUAACAUAUUAACCGAGAAUUUACUCACCUAUUUUGUAAUGAACUGACUUGUUGUCCCGUCAGUUACCACCCCGUUUUUCCCAUUUUAUGCUUUUAUAUGUUUCAAUAUAUGUGCUUGGAGAAUUUGAAGUAAUUCGGAUAGACUUUGGAUAGAAAUGAGACAAUUAGUCUCUUUAUGAGAAUGUUAGUUUGGAAAAGUCAACCGAAUGUUGACUUAUAAGUUAGAGGGCUCGGAAUGGAUUUUUAAUGAUUCGACUAGUUUUGGAUGGUGAUUUGUGACUUAGGAGCAAAAUCGAAACUGAAUUUGGAGAUCCAGUGUAGAAUUAGGCUUUAAUUGGCUAAGUUAGAAUUUUGGCAGAGUCCGGUUGAUAGAUGAGAUUUUGAUCCGGGGCUCGAAAUGGAAUUCUGACAGUUGCAGAAGCUCUAUUAGGUGAUUAUGGAUAUGCAUGCAAAUUUUCAAAUCAUUCGAAGGUGUUUAGGUCGGGUUUUGGACCAAAUGCAAGUGCGGAAGUUUUAGUUUAACUUAGGCUUGAAUCCGUGGUAUUUGAUGAUUUGAUGUUUAUGAUAGUGUUUUUAUGUUACGAGAAAGUUUGAAUGAAGUAAUAGAACAUAUCUGUGCUUUUGGUUGAGGUCCCGAGGGCCUCGGGGUGAUUUCGGAUGGCUAACGGAAAUUUUUAAAGUUAAAAAUGCAGCAGAAAAUUGCAGAGGAAUUUUCCUCUAUACGAUCGCAUAGGUUGGCCUGCGAUCGCAUAGAAGGCAUAGGGGAGGCCCAGAAAUUUUCUAUAUGCGAUCGCGUACGGGGGCUUGCGAUUGCAUAGGUAAGGGACUGUGUGUAGUGCGGUCGAGUAGGAGUCUAUGCGAUCGCGGAGUUGUAGGGCUCAUUGUUAUGCGAUCGCAUGGGGUGUUAUGCGAUCGCGUAAGAGGAAAUUAGAGGGCCAUAUUUUUGGUCUAUGCGAUCGCAGGAGUAGGGAUGCGAUCGCAUAGAAGGAAAGUGCUGGGCAGAGAAGGGUUUUUAAUAACAUUUCAUCAGCGAACCCAACAUAAUUUCCUCCAUUGUUAAGAAAUCAAGAGAGUUUUUUAACGAUUUGAAGCGUAUUUUCAAUGGGUAUUGAUUGGAGGUAAGUAUCUUGACUUAAAAGCACCAUUUUUAGGAAGAAUCACCCCUUAAUUCAAUGAAAUAGUGUAGGGCCUUGACGAAUGGCCGGCCACCUUUUACGUUAGAAGAGCAAAAGGCCCAGGGCAUAGCACGAUGAACCAACGUGAAUGAGAAAUUAUGAAGAGCUAGGGCUUAGUUUUUAGAAAUGAAUUUUGGGAAUUUGAAAGUUCAUUCGAGCUUUGUUUUCGACAAACUUUAUAUGUACGUACUUGUGGCGAGACAAGGAAUCCAAUGAUGUGAUUUUCAAAAAAUUUCGAGAAGUGGACCCGGGCUCGGGUUUUACCAACUUCGUGAUUUUUAGCAUUUUUCGAAUGGGUUAUGUUUAUUUAGCCUAUAAUAAUAUAUUCGUUAUGGUUUUGACUAGAUUCGACGUGUGUUGAUGGAGAUUCGAAGGGAAAAGGCAUUGCAGUCCAGUCUACGACCGGUUAGAGGUGAGUAGUUUGUAUAGAUGAUGGUCUGAGUGCUUGGAACCCCGAUUUAUCACAUCGUGACGCAAUGUUAGGGCGUUACUCGCACCCCAUGGCAAAUGCGGGAUGGUAUAUGAUUGGGGAUUGUGACUUGGUCCAUCCCAAGAGUUGAAUAUAAAUUAUUGGCGGCUGAUACGCACAUUGUGUUAUUGAUAAUUGGGCUUAAAGCCAUGUUUAGGGCCUUGUGCCGAUCUGCAGGACCCGUCUAGGAUGAAUAUCUGUAUAAUAACAUGAUUUGCAUAAUCAUUGAUCUCCGUCAUGUGCCUAAUAACUGUAUUAAAUGCUAAGUUACCUUAUUUCUGAAAUUGACUAAUUAAAUUAUGUUCACCUUAAUAAUUGGAAACUGGCAAAGAGUUAGACUGAAUCUGUUAUGUGACUUACAUACAUAUUGUGGACUGAGUAUUGGGUCGGGCAGCACGCCACAGCGCUGAUAUGAUGAUAUUGUGCUUGGGCUAAGGGAGCCCCUCCGGAGUCUGUACACACCCCCAAUGAGCUCCGUCGACGUUAAACGGAUCGGGCUGCACCCCGCAGCGUAUUCAUGUGCAUUGCAUUGAAUCUUUAUCUGAUAUUUGACUAUUAUAUUUGAUAUUGCCCUGUUGUUAGUUCGUAGCUAAGGAAUAGAACUGUUAGAUUUAGCUUUGCUUAGUGGUAUUUCGUGGAUUUCUUAUCUUCAGACAUUAUGUAUGCUUAUUACUCACUGAGUCGGUAGUACUCACCCCUACUCUCUGCACCUUGUGUGCAGAUUCAGGUACACCGGAGGCUUAGCUGACACUCAUAGUCUCCGGAUAUUUCCAGAGUCGUUAAGGUAGCUGCUUGACGUUCGUAGGAUAUGGCUGCUCUUCAUAUUCCAGUUUAUUAUAACUAAAUACAUUUCCAAAUUUUAUUAUUCUCAUUCAAAUAUUAGUAUCCAGUUUUUGUUUAGAGGCUCUAGACUCAUGACCCUAGAUCUUAUGAGUGGGUUUACCGGUUUUCGUAUUUAUCCUUAUCACUCUAUUAAUAUUUUUGGAUUAUUAUUCUAAAUUACUAUAAUAUUCUUAAAUUAUCGAUUUUGAGACUUAGUGUUAAAUUGAAAGUGAUUGUUGUCAGGCUUGCCUAGCUUUCGCGUUGGGCGCCAUCAUGACCGGGUUUGGGUCGUGACAAGUUGUUAUCAGAGCCUAGGUUACCAGGUCCCACGAGUCAUGAGGCGGUUUAGUAGAGUCUUAUUUAUAGGUGUGUCGUGCACCACACUGACAAGCAGAAGGCUACAGAACUUUUAGGAAACACUUCACUUUCUUGAAAUUCAUAUCGUGCGGUUUGUUAACGUGAAAAAACUAAAUUUUCGUAUUCUAUUCUCUCGCAAAUGGCAAGAAACCGUGCUAAUGGACAUGGCGGGCGACCCCCAGUACAACCUGCUAGAGGCCGUGGACGCGGUCGUGGUGCUAGAUGAGCCGGACCAGCAGGGGCAGCACCUACAUACCCACCGGCUGCCUAGGUCCAAGAUCAGCCUCCAGUUGUAGAUGCUCUAGUAGCACCAAUUCAGGCACCGGCAGUGCCCAUCGUGAUUCCUGGUCUCCAGGAGGCUUUGGCUUAGAUUUUGUCCGUAUGCACUGGCCUGGCAGGCAAUUUCAGCCACUACAACAGCAGCUACUUCUCAGACCGGGGAUGGUAAUCAGACCCCGAUGUCUCGCACUCCCGAGCAGGUUGUUCAGGGCUUACAGACACCUCAGGUAGCUCUAGUUCAGUCAGUUCAACCAGUUGCACCGAUUGUUCCAGUUGUGCCGGUUACACCUACUCCAUCUCAUGUGGUUCCAGCAACGCCGGAUGACAAGCCACAUCGUUUGGAGAGGUUCGGUAGGCUCCAACCUCCGACAUUUAGUGGUGCUGAGAGCGAGGAUACCCAGGGUUUUCUUGAUAAUGCCAGCGUAUGCUUCAUACGGUGGGUAUUUUGGAAUCUAGUGGAGUGGCUUUUACCACCUUCCAGUUCACAGGAGCUGCAUUUACUUGGUGGGAAGAGUCCGAGAGGUGUAGGCCUAUUGGGGUAGCUCCCCUCACUUGGCAGCAAUUCUCCAGGGUAUUUUUGGAUAAGUAUGUUCCCCCGUCUCACAGGGAGGAGCUAUCUCAUCAGUUCGAGUGGUUGACUCAGGGAGAUAUGACAAUGACUCAGUAUGAGUUGAGGUUUACACAACUGACUAGGCAUGCUCUGUGGAUGAUCCCGACAGAUAGAGAGAGGAUCAAGAGGUUUAUAGAUGGCCUCAACUAUCCGAUCUGUAUAUUAAUGACUAGAGAGGGGGCUAUAGCAGCUACAUUUGAGGAGGUUGUUGAUGUGGCUUGACUGAUUAAGACAGAUCGUCAUCGGGAGCGUAUGGAGAGAGAGGCCAAGAGGCCUCGAGGUUCAGGUAAUUUCAGCGAUGCUCCGUCCAGGGGGCGGUUCCAGCAUGGUAAUGGUCGUUCUUUCAGGCCUCCUCAGUCCAAAUGCACAGAGUCCAUUGGAGCCUCUUCAGGUCGGGGCCAUCAGGGUCAUCAACAGAGUCAGCCUGCGCUGAGUUCUCUUCCAGCUCAGAGCUCUGCUCCUGCUCCUUUAGCUCAGGGUUCGUCUGCAGCGAGGGGUUCUUAUCAGUCCCCUUCUCCAGUUUCAGUUCAUGCUAUGAUUGGGGUGAGUUGGGUCACAUAAGGAGAUAGUGUCCUGGACCCUGCAGUAGGCAUCUCAGCAGAGGGAUUAGCCCUCGUCUUCUGCUCAGGUUUCUUCGGCUCCCACUCAGUCAGCUAGGGAUGGAGGCCAGGUAUCCAGAGGUCGCCCCAGCGGUGAGGAUCAUAUUGGCGGUGGCCAUGCUCGUUUCUUUUCCCUUCCAGAUAUGAGGGACGCUAUUGCCUCGGAUGCAGUCAUCACAGGUAUUAUCUCAGUCUGCCACAGGAAUGCUUAUGUUUUAUUUGAUCCCGGAUCUACCUAUUCAUAUGUGUCUUCCUAUUUUGCUCUUUAUUUGGGUACGACCCAUGGUUGUCUUGCCUUUCCCGUGCACGUAUCUACCCCGGUGGGUGAUACUAUUGUUGUGGAUCAUGUCUAUUGAUCCUGUCUGGUGACUAUUGGGGGUUUGAAGACCCGAGUUGACCUGUUAUUGUUGGGCAUGGCAAAUUUUGACGUGAUUCUGUGUGUGGAUUGGCUAUCUCCAUACCAUGCUAUUCUGGAAUGUCAUGCCAAGACAGUUACACUAGCUAUUUCAAGUAUUCUGAGGAUCGAGUGGCGAGGAGUGACUGAUUAUGUACCUAGCAGGGUGAUUUCUUUCCUAAAAGCCCAACGGAUGGUUGGGAAGAGUUGUCUAUCGUAUUUGGCUUUCGUGAGAGAUGUGGAAGCUGAGGCUCCUAGUCUUGAUUCUGUUCCUGUUGUAAGGGAUUUCCCGGAUGUGUUUCCAGCGGACUUGUCGGGCAUGCCUUCAAACAGGGACAUUGAUUUUGGUAUUAAUCUGGAGCCGGGCACUCAGCCCAUCUCUAUUCAUCCCUACCGUAUGGCACCAGCGGAGCUAAAAGAGUUGAAAGAACAGCUUCAGGAACUCCUAGAUAAAGGUUUCAUUCGCCCAAGUGUGUCACCUUGGGGUGCACCGGUGUUAUUUGUUAAGAAGAAAGAUGUCACAAUGUGAAUGUGCAUUGACUACAGGCAGUUGAAUAAGGUGACGAUGAAGAACAAGUACCCACUACCCCGUAUUGAGAAUUUAUUUGAUCAGCUCCAGGGAGCAAGGGUAUUCUCUAAGAUUGACCUUCGAUCAGGAUAUCGCCAGCGGAAGAUUAGGGAUUUUGAGAUUAUGAACACGACUUUCAGGACGAGAUAUGGGCACUAUGAGUCUCUAGUGAUGUCUUUCGGGUUGACUAAUGCCCCAGGCCCGUUCAUGCACUUGAUGAACAAUGUAUUUGGGCCUUAUCUGGAUUAUUUUGUGAUCCUGUUCAUCGAUGAUAAUAUGUUUUAUUCGUGUAGCCAGGAGGAGCACGCGCAACAUUUGAGGGUGGACUUGAAGAGAUUGAGAGACGAGAAGCUUUAUGCCAAGUUCUCCAAGUGUGAAUUCUGGCUUAAUACUGUGACUUUUCUGGGACACGUGGUGUCAGUGAUGGUAUUCAGGUUGACCCAAAGAAGAUUGAGGCGGUCCAGAGUUGUCCCAGACCGUCCUCAGCUACUGAGAUUCGGAGUUUCCUCGGUUUGGCAGGUUAUUACUGCAGGUUCUUUCAGGGCUUUUCGUAUUUUGAUUCGCCUUUGAUGAAGUUGACACAGAAGAAUGCUCCAUUUGUAUGGUCGGAUGAAUGCGAGGAGAGCUUCCAGAAGUUCAAGUCGGCUUUGACCACAACACCGUUAUUAGUAUUACCAUCAGCUUCAGGUUCUUACACGGUGUAUUGUGAUGCUUUGAGAGUUGGGAUCGAUUGUGUAUUGAUGCAGGAGGGUAGAGUGAUUGCUUAUGAUUCUCGUCAGCUGAAGCUCCAUGAGAAGAACUACCCUGUUCAUGACUUAGAAUUGGCUGCAAUUGUUCAUGCCUUGAAGAUUUGGAGGCAUUAUCUUUAUGGUGUAUCUUGUGAGGUAUAUAUGGACCAUCGUAGUCUUCAGCACUUGUUUAAUCAGAAGGAUCUUAAUUUGAGAGAGCGGAGAUGGCUUGAGUUACUUAAAGACUAUGAUAUUACUAUUCUAUAUCAUCCCGGGAAGGCCAAUGUAGUGGCCGAUGCUUUGAGCCGGAAUGCUAUUAGCAUGGGUAGUCUGGCGUACAUUCUAGUUGGGGAGAGGCCCCUUGCAGUUGAUGUUCAGGCCUUGGCCAAUCAAAUGGUGAGGUUAGAUAUUUCCGAGCGUAGUCAGGUGUUAGCUAGUGUGGUUUCCCGAUCUUCUUUGUAUGACUGCAUCAGAGAGCACUAAUAUGAUGACCCGCAUUUGCUUGUCUUAAAGGACAGGGUCCAGCAUGAUUAUGCCAGAUAUGUGACCAUCGGAGAUGAUGGUGUAUUACGGAUGCAAGGUCGGAUUUGCGUGCCCAAUGUGGGUGGUCUCCGAGAGUUGAUAUUGGAGGAGGCCCACAGCUCGCGAUAUUUGAUUCAUCCGGGUGCCGUGAAGAUGUACCAGGAUUUGAGACAGCAUUACUGGUGGAGGAUAAUGAAAAAUGAUAUUAUGAAUUAUGUGGAUCGGUGUCUCAACUUCCAGCAAGUCAAAUAUGAGCACCAGAGACCCGGUGGUGUACUCUAGUGGAUGGACAUUCCGGAGUGGAAAUGGGAGAAUAUUACCAUAAAUUUUGUGAGUGAUCUUCCUCGUACCUCGAAGAAGUUUGAUUUAAUUUGGGUGAUCGUGGAUAGGCUGACCAAGUCCGCGCACUUCAUUCCAGUAUGCACUACCUAUUCUGUGGAGAAGUAAGUAGAGAUUUUCAUCCAGGAGAUUGUACGGUUGCAUGGGGUUCCGGUUUCCAAUGUAUCAGAUAGGGUACCGUGUUUACUUCCCAGUUCUAUAGGACUUUUCAUCGGGAGUUGGGCACACAGGUCCAGUUGAGCACAAUAUUUCAUCCACAAACGGACGGGCAGUCCGAGUGUACUAUCCAUAUAUUGGAGGACAUGUUGCGUGCCUGUGCAAUUGAUUUUUAAGGUUCUUGGGAUGAAUUCUUGCCACUUGUGGAGUUUGCGUAUAAUAACAACUAUCAAAUCCAUCAUCCAGAUGGCGCUGUAUGAGGCCUUAUAUGAGAGACGGUAUAGAUCUUCGGUUGGUUGGUUCGAGUCCGGCGAGGCUAGAUUAUUGGGGACAGAGUUAGUUCAGGAUGCUUUAGAGAAGGUGAAAGUAAUCCAGGAGAGACUUCGUACAACUCAGUCGUGUCAGAAGAGUUAUGCGGACAGGAAGGUUCGAGAUGUAUCUUAUGCAGUGGGCGAGAAGGUCUUGUUAAAGGUUUCUCCUAUAAAGGGCGUUAUGAGGUUUGGAAAGAAAGGGAAAGGUGAGUCCAAGGUUCAUUGGGCCUUUUGAAAUACUUAGGAGGAUUAGGGAGGUGGCCUAAAUGCUUGCUUUGCCACCUAGCUUGUCGGGAGUUCACCCGGUGUUCAAUGUUUCUAUGCUCCGAAAGUAUGUUGGGGACCCGUCUCAUGUGUUAGACUUCAGCACGAUUCAGUUGGAUGAAGACUUGNNNNNNNNNNNNNNNNNNNNNNNNNNNNNNNNNNNNNNNNNNNNNNNNNNNNNNNNNNNNNNNNNNNNNNNNNNNNNNNNNNNNNNNNNNNNNNNNNNNNNNNNNNNNNNNNNNNNNNNNNNNNNNNNNNNNNNNNNNNNNNNNNNNNNNNNNNNNNNNNNNNNNNNNNNNNNNNNNNNNNNNNNNNNNNNNNNNNNNNNNNNNNNNNNNNNNNNNNNNNNNNNNNNNNNNNNNNNNNNNNNNNAAGGUCGGCCCGUGGAGGAAGCCACUUGGGAGACCGAGCAGGAGAUGCACAACAAAUAUCCUCACUUGUUUGAUGCUCUGGGUAUGUUUCUUAACCCGCUCGAGGACGAGCGUUUGUUUAAGUUGAGGAGAAUGUAACGACCUGACCCGUCAUCCCGUGAGUUACCACCCCAUUUUUCCCAUUUAUGUUUUUAUAUGUUUCAAUAUAUGUUCUUGGAGAGUUUGAAUUAAUUCGGAUGAAGUUUGGAUAGAAAUAAGACUAUUAGUCUCUAUAUGAGAAGGUUAGUUUGGAAAAGUCAACCUAACAUUGACUUAUGAGUUAGAGCACUCGGAAUAGAUUUCUCAUGAUUCGAAUAGUUUUGUAUGGUGAUUUCUGACUUAGGAGCGAAAUCGGAACUGAAUUUGGAGGUCCGGUGUAGAAUUAGGUUUGAAUUGGCUAAGUUAGAAUUUUGGCGGAGUUUGGUUGAUAGGUGAAAUUUUGACCCGGGGUCGGAAUGAAAUUCUCACAGUUGCAGUAGCUCUGUUAGGUGAUUUUGGAUAUGCAUGAAAAUUUUCGGAUCAUUCAGAGGUGUUUAGGUCGGGUUUCGGAUCAAAUGCAAGUUUCAGAAGUUUUAGUUUAACUUAGGCUUGAAUCCGUGGUAAUUCGAUGAUUUUGACAUUUAUGAUAGUGUUUUUAUGUUACGAGCAAGUUUGAAUGAAGUAAUAAUACAUAUAUGUGCUUUUGGUGGAGGUCGCGAGGGCCUCGGAGUGAUUUCGGAAGGCUAACGGGAAUUUUUGAAUAUAAAAAUGCAGCAGAAAAUUGAAGAGGAAUUUUCCUCUAUGAAAUCGCAUAGGUUGGCCUACGAUCGCAUAGAAGACCUGGGGGAGGCCCAGAAAUUUGCUCUAUGAGAUCGCGUAUGGGGGCUUGCGAUCGCAUAGAUAUGGGACUGUGUGCAGUGCGGCCGCGUAGGGGUCUACGUGAUCGCGUAGUUGUGGGGCUCAGUGUUAUGCGAUCGCUUGGGGAGUUAUGAGAUUGCGUAAGAGGAAAUCGGAGGGCCAUAUUUUUGGUCUAUGCGAUCGUAGGAGUAGGGAUGCGAUCGCAUGAGUAGGGAUGCGAUCGCAUCGAAGGAAAGUGCCGGGCAGAGAAGGUUUUUAAUAACAUUUCAUCCGCGAACCCAACAUAAUUUCCUCCAUUGUUACGAAACCAAGAGAGUAUUUUGAUCAAUUUUAAGCGUGUUUUCAACGGGUAUUGAUUGGAGGUAAGUCUUUUGACUUAAAAACACCUUUUUUAGGAAGAAUCAACCCUUAAUUCCAUGAAAUUGUGUAGAAAUUGUGAAGAACUAGGGCUUNNNNNNNNNNNNNNNNNNNNNNNNNNNNNNNNNNNNNNNNNNNNNNNNNNNNNNNNNNNNNNNNNNNNNNNNNNNNNNNNNNNNNNNNNNNNNNNNNUUUUGGGGAUUUGAUAGGUCAUUCGAGCUCCGUUUUCGACAAACUUUAUAUGUACAAACUCUUGGUGAAACGAGAAAUCCGAAGAUGUGAUUUUCAUAAUUUUUCGAGAAGUGGGCUCAGGGCUCGGGUUUUACUAACUUCGUGAUUUUUAGCGUUUUUCGAAUAAUUUCAAUUGGGUUAUGUUUAUUUAGCCUAUAAUAACAUAUUUGUUGUAGUUUUUACUAGAUUCGAUGCGCGUAGACGGAGAUUCGAAGGGAAAAGGAAUUGCAGACCAGUCUACGACCGGUUAGAGGUGAGUAAUUUGUAUAGAUGAUGGCCUGAGGGUUUGAAACCCUGGUUUAUCACAUCGUGACGCUAUGUUAGGGCGUGACUCGCACCCCAUGGCAGGUGCGGGAUGGUAUAUGAUUGGGGAUUGUGACCUGAUCCAUCCCGAGAGCUAAAUAUAAAUUAUUGGCGGCUGAUACGCACAUUGUUUUGUUGAUAAUGGCUUAAUGCCAUGUUUGGGGCCUUGUGUCAAUCUGUAGUAACCGUCUAGGAUGAAUAUCUGUGUGAUAACUGUCACACCUCCUUUUUACACACCUAACCCGAAAGAUAAUGUAUACGAGAGUUUUUCCAUUUAAAGUGAUAUUAUUCGGAUCGGGAUUAUUUAUUCAGAGUCUCCACUUGGGAUAAGUUUGGCAUUUGGUGUUCCAAGUCACCAAUUUAUCUUGAAUCUCGAAUCGAGUAAAACUUCGACUUCCGAAUGGAGUCUGCGAACCAGAAAUUCUGAAGAAGGAAUUCUGUUGACCCGAGGGAAGGUGUUAGGCACCCUCGGAUCUCGUGGUUCUAGCAUGAUCGCUUAAAUUGCCAUGAAUGGCUAGAAUCUGAUUUUAAUACAUGAAGAGCAUAUGUGCCAAUUUUACGUUUAACCGCUUUUAUUUAAUAUGUAUUUAUUUAAGAGAAAGUGAGCGUAUUAAAAUGUAUUUUCUGAUUGCGCCGCAUGAAAUGAACCUGCAAUCCUAGACACACUCUAUUCAACGUUUUAGGAUUUGAAUUUGGGCCGCAUAAAAUGCCCACCUGUAUUUAGGAAUGUAAUUUAUUUAAGUUGCGCCUAAUAGAGUCUAACGCGUUGUAAUCUUUUGGGAAGGCCAUGAAAUUCGCUAAACGGCCCUUCCCGAUUUUCUAAAUAUUUUUAACCCUUUAUUGAGAGCUCCGCAAUUUGUAUUUUUGUUAGGCGAGGCUUGUCUUAUUUAUUUUAAAAGGAUAAAUCUAAAGGUAACUAUAUUUUCUAUUUUUAUUUUUGCGCUUCUAAUAAAGAAAGAAAAAUUCCUUAUUAAUCAUAUUCGAAAUCCAGGCCUUAAGAUCAAGUCCGGGUCCAAACAAAAGGACAAACAUUUUAGUUUAAAACUUGCUACCUAACUCAAAACCCAAAUUCCAAAUACCAAUUAAAUCAAAUGAAGGGACAUUUGACCUGGGCCCAAAUGGCUAGGCUAAUGAGCCCAAGUAAUGGAGGCAGCAGCGAUUAAGAGGGCUGGGGAGGGGGUCCAAUAUCAGCAGAUCGCAAAUAACUAAACCUUGUUGGGCUAAAGAGUGACCACAGCUGACUGCCCACAAUGGCCAACCCACAUGACAGGCCCAAAUGCAUUAUUGUCACAGCUGGGCUGCUUGCUUGGCCCGGUGGCAGCAGAACGAUGCUUGGAGAUCAAUUCCCCACAAUUGCACAAAUUAACGCCAAAUGCCAAUCCAAGCGGCCCCAACCAGUUAAGACCCAGAUAGCACAAAUUAAACAAAAACACGUCGGAUUACUUCUUGAUAAAACAGUAUCAUGCUGAGCACUCGUGCUUACACCUUGUUCAUGAUUAGGCAUGCGUCCAAAGCGGAAUGCAAAGGAUUUAAACUAGGUAAUGCAAUAAUCUCUUUAUCCUAAACGAGUUAAUAGCCUGGAUUCAAUUCUGGAAAUAAACUACAUGAUUCAAACCAAUUUUAACAACAACCGGGCAUUUGGAAAUUACUACAGCAUGUUUUUGCAUUUUUCUAAGCUACUUGGACUAUUUAACUACCAAAUGAUUAACUACAGCAUACUAACUUUUGCUUCCUCAGUCAUUCCUUGUCAUUUCAAUAGAUUUCAAUCAAGGAAACUUGUUGCUAUAUAUUAUGCAAUACAUGAAACAGUCGCAAAUCCAAAAUUUCCACAGUUCCACAAGCUUAAUCAGUUCCAAGUUAUUACAGUUAGAUCAUUACAAACCAAGUUCUAGGCAGUUCAUAUCAAUCAUAAAUAGUUCAAACCAAGUUCUAGGCAGUUCAUAUCAAUCAUAAAUAGUUCAAACCCAGCUCAGUCAAAUUAAACUAAGCAGCUAGGCAUAACUACACUCUAAGCAGCUAGGCAUAACUACUAAACAGAGAAUGCAGCAGAAGAGCCUUGAUCUAAACUUCAUUUGAUUUCAUCAACCAAGAAUGUACAAGGGUGUACCUGGAAAUUAGAGAGCAAUCAGAAGAGACAGAUCAAUAACAGCAAUUAAACAUGCAGCAAUCAACAGCUAGAACCCAGCUUAAACCACGAGUGAAAUUUUGAAAACCAAUCAACCCAAGCAAACACCCCAUAAGCUUGAACAAACAGGGAUCCCAGGAAACGCAAAACACCCCAAAGUUUAAAUAGACCCUCAACAGUUCAUAUAUCACGACCAGAACUCCAUUGAAGCUAAUAAUACUCAAUUUCGAAACAGAGGUGAAGAGAUCUACAGCAAAAUCUAGAAUUCCACUGAUUUACUCUAAUGGAAUAGUGAAAAAAUUCAUUUUUUUGUGUUUUUAUAUAUAUGAAUUCAAAUUACUACUCUGAAUCAAAGAAGAAAAGCAGAAUAGUUUUUUUCUGAAUGGGAUCUUUCGGGCUCAAAACUGAAGACCCUUCCUCAAGGCACUUGAUGCCUUUAUAUAGGCAAGAAGAAAUGAAAAUUCAGCCAAAAGGGUCUUUUCAAAUCAGUCCCUCUUUCUUCUUUUAUUUUACCCUCCUAUUUCUAACUUGCUACCCAAGUAAGUACUAUUGAAAAGCUAAAAGCUACACUUGUACCCUAUUCUAGAAACAUGAUGCUCUUUUGGCUAAGCAAUUCCUAAACUACCCCUACCCUACUUUAAAAUUACUAUUCCUAAAGAAACUACCCUUUUCUAUACCUAAAAUGCCCUUCGAUUCAUUUCUGAAUUACCUAGCCUACGAGACCCCUAUCACCUUAACUAUAAUUAAAUAGAACUAACUAAUCGUGUGACUUAUUCAGCUAUAAUCCAACCAGGUUCACCUCUCAUGCAAAAUAUUCAAACUGAAUUAAACCAUAACUUAUCCUAAUGCAUAUUCUAACAAGCUGUUAAUCAAACGAGAAUAGUCGUCAACAUUAAACUAACAUCUCAAAACCAGAUUCACCAAUUAAUCAGAAACAGAAGAGAUAGAACAAUAGAAGCAAGCAUCAACAUGAGCUAUCACUAUUUAUCCAAACUAAUAACCCCUAUUAUUUAUGAACUACAUUAAAAUAUUAUCAAUGAACAGAUAAUCCGACAAACUAAUUAAGCUACCGAUGAGUCAGAGCCUAAAUCAUAUUGUAAAUUGAAACAACUAAACUGAUAAAGUAUGGAAACACAAAUUAAGCUAACCUAAUAAAAUUAAACUAAAACAAGUGAAAAAAAAUCAGAAUUAACUAUAGAAAAUUUCAAAAAUCGAUCAAAUCAAACAGAGAAGAAGAAGAAGGAGCGAUUAGACUAAUCAAACUCAGAAUGUUGAAGAGAACUUGCUGUAAAAAGUAAUCGACCCAGAAAAAUCCCUAAAACAAGUUCGAAACGGCCCGAACCUUAGAUUUGCAAUUCACUCAAUUAUACCAGGAUUCAAGAGGUUUUAAUCAAGUAUUAGGAAUGAGGGAAGUCUGGGGGAUCGUGUGGUAUGAAUUUGGUCCGGAUUGGGUGAAUUAGGGUUUUUGCCAGAAAUUUUAAAUUCAAUAUUCGAACAAAUCAGCCGACAUUCGAAGGAAACGGCCUAAGGAUUUGGGAAGAGGAGGGGAGAGGAGUCCUGGGUGUUAUAUUGAUGGCAUUUGGUGUAGAAGGCGUUUCCCGCCGGCGAGAAUCCCGGCGAAGAUACAGUGGUGGAGUCGGAGAGGGACAGGGUAAGAGGAGGAGAUACCUAUCUCUAGCGUUUGCCCUGACUAUUUUCGGACACUUUUAAUUAAAUGAGAGGAUCAAUGGGGAUUGUUGGAUGAAGGAGAUUAACGGUCAAGAUCAGACGACGCCAAACGAC
rnacentral:lncRNA from 1 species